GUUAGAAUUCUCAAAGACUGUGAUGGUUUACUGCCUAGAAGGUAUACACGAAUUUGAGGAUAACAUAUAAAGCAAGAUAGAAGGGAUGGUAAUUGAGAUGGUGUAACAAUUUUUUUAAGUUUCCUGAUAACUCUUUAGCAAACUUGGCAAAAAGAAAUACGAUCGAUGACUACUUUGAGGACACAUACAUCAGACACCUAAAAUUGACAAGAGCAGAGAGAAGAAUUGCUUUAUCUUUAAAGCAAAGUCAUAUCAAUGUGAAAACUACUGCUAUCCAAGUUAAGUA